rnacentral:rRNA from 1 species
UACGUAGGUGGCAAGCGUUGUCCGGAUUUACUGGGCGUAAAGAGCGCGCAGGCGGUCGUUCAAGUCGCGUGUGAAAGCCCCCGGCUCAACUGGGGAGAGUCACGCGAUACUGAUCGACUCGAAGGCAGGAGAGGGUAGUGGAAUUCCCGGUGUAGUGGUGAAAUGCGUAGAUAUCGGGAGGAACACCAGUGGCGAAGGCGACUACCUGGCCUGUUUCUUGACGCUGAGGCGCGAAAGCUAGGGGAGCAAACGGG